GAGAAUAUAACUCAGUGGUAGAGUAUGUGUUUAGUAUGCACAAGGUCCUGGGUUCAACCCCCAGUACUUCCA
rfam:Camelus ferus unplaced genomic scaffold scaffold1720, whole genome shotgun sequence.